GCUGGACCUCGGUCUGCCCGGGGGAAGCUGCGGUUUGUCGGGGCGCUGGAGGACGGACGCUGCCGGCGGCAGGUGGACCCUGGCACGGAACCGUUGGGCGGCGAUCUGCUCCGUGCUGGAGCGGAGGUGUCGAUUCUGCCUUCAGUUCUCUGUCGCAUCGUCCCGGAGCUGGAGAGCUUCAGCCGUCGCCUCCAUUUACGCUGCUUUGGAGCUCUUGCUUCCCGCGGGCGAUCUCCGCAGCUGCCUGCAAUUCCGGCUCCCAAAUCAGGAUCUGCUGCUCCUCGAAAAGGGGCGGUUUUGUUUUCUUUUCUGUCUGGGUCUCGCCCUGGGAGUCGUGGGAUGAACUUUCAGGGCCAGGACCUUGACGUGCAGCCUCCCCCCGGGAGGGAGGAGGUGGGUUUUGGACAAGGGGCCUGGGGCUUUCUGUGUGGGGCCGUGGCUGUGUCUGCGUGGCCUGUGGGGUGGAGAAGAUCUGGCUUCCAGAAUUUCUCUUUUAAAAGGAUGUCACCUCCGUGGGUCUCAAGUCCUGCGUGUGGGGUGACUCUGGACACUUUGGGGUCCCCGAGCAGGGUUCUCCUUAUUCUGUCCCGUGGUGGUCUCUGGGAGUCGAGUUCGAGGAAUGAGGCUGGAAGACCCUGUCUCCCACUAAUUCUAUUCCUCUUUGAAAAGGAGCAUUAUGAGAUGGUGUUUCCUCAGAUCAUCAUGAGAUAAAAAAUCAUCAGGACCGUCAUCAGAGUAAUAAAUAAGCCCUCAGUACGUGCCUGGAGCAGUAAUCUUCCACGGGCCGGAGACGAUCCCAUCGGUUUGCGCACACUCAUUGUACCAUCUAGGGCUCAUAGUGUUCUACCACAUUUCCCCGCUGAGGUCCCUGAGGCCGAGAGAAGUGAAGUGCCCGUCCCCAGGAUGUGCAGUAGAGGAGUGGUGGAGCCGUGAUGAAGCCCCUCUAAGUUCUGAGUCUCCGCUCUGUG